rfam:TPA: Bos taurus chromosome 5, whole genome shotgun sequence.
UUCCUGGUGUCUCAGAUGGUAAAGAAUCUGCCUGCAGUGCAGAAGACCUGGGUUUGAUCUCUGAGUUGGGAAG